rnacentral:rRNA from 1 species
AGAGUUUGAUCAUGGCUCAGAUUGAACGCUGGCGGCAGGCCUAACACAUGCAAGUCGAGCGGUAGCACAGAGAGCUUGCUCUCGGGUGACGAGCGGCGGACGGGUGAGUAAUGUCUGGGAAACUGCCUGAUGGAGGGGAUAACUACUGGAAACGGUAGCUAAUACCGCAUAACGUCGCAAGACCAAAGUGGGGGACCUUCGGGCCUCAUGCCAUCAGAUGUGCCCAGAUGGGAUUAGCUAGUAGGUGGGGUAACGGCUCACCUAGGCGACGAUCCCUAGCUGGUCUGAGAGGAUGACCAGCCACACUGGAACUGAGACACGGUCCAGACUCCUACGGGAGGCAGCAGUGGGGAAUAUUGCACAAUGGGCGCAAGCCUGAUGCAGCCAUGCCGCGUGUGUGAAGAAGGCCUUCGGGUUGUAAAGCACUUUCAGCGGGGAGGAAGGCGUUAAGGUUAAUAACCUUGGCGAUUGACGUUACCCGCAGAAGAAGCACCGGCUAACUCCGUGCCAGCAGCCGCGGUAAUACGGAGGGUGCAAGCGUUAAUCGGAAUUACUGGGCGUAAAGCGCACGCAGGCGGUCUGUCAAGUCGGAUGUGAAAUCCCCGGGCUCAACCUGGGAACUGCAUUCGAAACUGGCAGGCUAGAGUCUUGUAGAGGGGGGUAGAAUUCCAGGUGUAGCGGUGAAAUGCGUAGAGAUCUGGAGGAAUACCGGUGGCGAAGGCGGCCCCCUGGACAAAGACUGACGCUCAGGUGCGAAAGCGUGGGGAGCAAACAGGAUUAGAUACCCUGGUAGUCCACGCCGUAAACGAUGUCGAUUUGGAGGUUGUGCCCUUGAGGCGUGGCUUCCGGAGCUAACGCGUUAAAUCGACCGCCUGGGGAGUACGGCCGCAAGGUUAAAACUCAAAUGAAUUGACGGGGGCCCGCACAAGCGGUGGAGCAUGUGGUUUAAUUCGAUGCAACGCGAAGAACCUUACCUGGUCUUGACAUCCACAGAACUUUCCAGAGAUGGAUUGGUGCCUUCGGGAACUGUGAGACAGGUGCUGCAUGGCUGUCGUCAGCUCGUGUUGUGAAAUGUUGGGUUAAGUCCCGCAACGAGCGCAACCCUUAUCCUUUGUUGCCAGCGGUCCGGCCGGGAACUCAAAGGAGACUGCCAGUGAUAAACUGGAGGAAGGUGGGGAUGACGUCAAGUCAUCAUGGCCCUUACGACCAGGGCUACACACGUGCUACAAUGGCAUAUACAAAGAGAAGCGACCUCGCGAGAGCAAGCGGACCUCAUAAAGUAUGUCGUAGUCCGGAUUGGAGUCUGCAACUCGACUCCAUGAAGUCGGAAUCGCUAGUAAUCGUAGAUCAGAAUGCUACGGUGAAUACGUUCCCGGGCCUUGUACACACCGCCCGUCACACCAUGGGAGUGGGUUGCAAAAGAAGUAGGUAGCUUAACCUUCGGGAGGGCGCUUACCACUUUGUGAUUCAUGACUGGGGUGAAGUCGUAACAAGGUAACCGUAGGGGAACCUGCGGUUGGAUCACCU